GACGAACGCUGGCGGCGUGCUUAACACAUGCAAGUCGAACGGAAAGGCCCUGCUGUUGUGGGGUGCUCGAGUGGCGAACGGGUGAGUCACACGUGAGUAACCUGCCCUUGACUUUGGGAUAACUUCAGGAAACUGGGGCUAAUACCGGAUAGGAGCUCCUGCUGCAUGGUGGGGGUUGGCAAGUUUGGGAGGUUGGGGAUGGACUCGCGGCUUAUCAGCUUGUUGGUGGGGUAGUGGCUUACCAAGGCUUUGACGGGUAGCCGGCCUGAGAGGGUGACCGGGCACAUUGGGAGUGAGAUACGGCACAGACUCGUACGGGAGGUAGGUGUGGGGAUGAUUGCAUAAUGGGCCGAAGCCGGAUGCAGCAACGCUGCGUUCGGGAUGAUGGACUUCGGUUGUUAAACCGCAUUCGCAUGUGCCGAAGCGUGAGUGACGGUAAUGGGUGAAGAAGCACCGGCUAACUACGUG
rnacentral:rRNA from 1 species